GUGCCAGCCGCCGCGGUAAUACCAGCACCCCGAGUGGUCGGGACGAUUAUUGGGCCUAAAGCAUCCGUAGCCGGUCCUGCAAGUCUUCCGUUAAAUCCAUCUGCUCAACAGAUGGGCUGCGGGGGAUACUACAUGGCUAGGAGGCGGGAGAGGCAAGCGGUACUCUAUGGGUAGGGGUAAAAUCCGUUGAUCCAUAGAAGACCACCAGUGGCGAAGGCGGCUUGCCAGAACGCGCUCGACGGUGAGGGAUGAAAGCUGGGGGAGCAAACCGGAUUAGAAACCCUCGUAGUCC
rnacentral:rRNA from 1 species